AGAAAAAAAAAAGGACUCUUCUUGUUCUAUAGUGAGCGAACGAACGAGGAGAAACAUAAAUUUAAAUUGAAAGCCUUAGCUCUCAAACUAAAGAGAGAGGUGGAAGAAGAAGAAGAACAAGAAGAAGAUUGACCAAAGGAAUUCGUACGGAGUGAUUGAGUGGCAAGCUUGGUAACUCAACACAAGUACAAGAAUUCAAGUGGUAUUGAAGAGGAUUUCAUUAACUAGCGUGUGAGUUGGUAGCAUCUGGUGAGCCCCGCAUUGCUUCGAGUGGCAAGAGAGCUAUUG